AAGUCGUAACAAGGUCUCCGUAGGUGAACCUGCGGAGGGAUCAUUACAAGUUGACCCCGGCCCUCGGGCCGGGAUGUUCACAACCCUUUGUUGUCCGACUCUGUUGCCUCCGGGGCGACCCUGCUUCCGGGCGGGGGCCCCGGGUGGACAUCUCAAACUCUUGCGUAACUUUGCAGUCUGAGUAAAUUUAAUUAAUAAAUUAAAA
rnacentral:misc_RNA from 1 species